UACACUCCUACGGGAGGCAGCAGUGGGGAAUUUUGGACAAUGGGCGAAAGCCUGAUCCAGCAAUGCCGCGUGCAGGAUGAAGGCCUUCGGGUUGUAAACUGCUUUUGUACGGAACGAAAAAGCUCCUUCUAAUACAGGGGGCCCAUGACGGUACCGUAAGAAUAAGCACCGGCUAACUACGUGCCAGCAGCCGCGGUAAUACGUAGGGUGCGAGCGUUAAUCGGAAUUACUGGGCGUAAAGCGUGCGCAGGCGGUUAUGUAAGACAGAUGUGAAAUCCCCGGGCUCAACCUGGGAACUGCAUUUGUGACUGCAUGGCUAGAGUACGGUAGAGGGGGAUGGAAUUCCGCGUGUAGCAGUGAAAUGCGUAGAUAUGCGGAGGAACACCGAUGGCGAAGGCAAUCCCCUGGACUUGUACUGACGCUCAUGCACGAAAGCGUGGGGAGCAAACAGGAUUAGAUACCCUUGUAGUCCCA
rnacentral:rRNA from 1 species